rnacentral:tRNA from 1 species
GGUUGUGGCUCAGUGGUAGAGUACUUGCCUAGCACCUGAGGCACUGGGUUCGAUCCUCAGCACCA